AUUCCAGCUCCCAUAGCGUAUAUUAAAGUUGUUGCAGUUAAAAAGCUCGUAGUUGGAUUUCUGGUGCAUUCCACUGGCCUAUUGGUUAACUCCAACUUGGCUCAUUUGGAAUACGCCAUCUUUAGGCAGACCCGUCGUGGCAUUAGGUUGUCGUGAUGGUUACGCCUAUCGUUUACUGUGAAGAAAUUAGGGUGUUCAAAGCAGGCUUAUGCCAUGAAUACGUUAGCAUGGAAUAAUGAGAUAGGAUUUCGGUACUAUUUUGUUGGUUUGUGUACGGAAAUAAUGAUUAACAGGAACAGUGUUGUGGGUAUUCGUAUUUCGUUGUCAGAGGUGAAAUUCUUGGAUUUACGAAAGACGAACGACUGCGAAAGCAUUUACCAAGGAUGUUUUCAUUA
rnacentral:rRNA from 1 species